rnacentral:rRNA from 1 species
AACGAACGCUGGCGGCAGGCCUCAUACAUGCAAGUCUAACGGGUGUAGCAAUACAUCAGUGGCGCACGGGUGAGUAACGAGUGGGAAUAUGGCCUUGACUACGGAACAACCACGGGACACUGAGGCGAAUACAGUAUAAUGUCACAGGACCAAAGAUUUAUCGGGCAAGGAUUAGCCCGCGUCUGAUUAGGUAGUUGGUGUGGUAACGGCUCACCAAGACUACGAUCAGUAGCUGGUCUGAGAGGAUGAUCAGCCACACUGGGACGGAGACACGGCCCAGACUCCUACGGGAGGCAGCAAUAAGGAAUAGUGGACAAUGGGGUAAACCCUGAUCCAGCCAUGCCGCGUGAGUGAAGAAGGCCUUCGGGUUGUAAAGCUCUUUUACCCCUGACGAUAAUGACGGUAAGGGGAGAAAAAGCCACGGCUAACUUCGUGCCAGCAGCCGCAGUAA